rnacentral:rRNA from 1 species
GAUGAACGCUGGCGGCGUGCCUAAUACAUGCAAGUCGAGCGAACAGACGAGGAGCUUGCUCCUCUGACGUUAGCGGCGGACGGGUGAGUAACACGUGGAUAACCUACCUAUAAGACUGGGAUAACUUCGGGAAACCGGAGCUAAUACCGGAUAAUAUAUUGAACCGCAUGGUUCGAUAGUGAAAGACGGUUUUGCUGUCACUUAUAGAUGGAUCCGCGCCGCAUUAGCUAGUUGGUAAGGUAACGGCUUACCAAGGCAACGAUGCGUAGCCGACCUGAGAGGGUGAGCGGCCACACUGGAACUGAGCCACGGUCCAGACUCCUACGGGAGGCAGCAGUAGGGAAUCUUCCGCAAUGGGCGAAAGCCUGACGGAGCAACGCCGCGUGAGUGAUGAAGGUCUUCGGAUCGUAAAACUCUGUUAUUAGGGAAGAACAAAUGUGUAAGUAACUAUGCACGUCUUGACGGUACCUAAUCAGAAAGCCACGGCUAACUACGUGCCAGCCGCCGCCGUAA